UGGUGGUGAAGAUGAGGCUGGGUCUAGUCAGGUUAUAGAUGGUGGUGGUGUAGAUGAGGCUGGGUCUAGUCAGGUUAUAGAUGGUGGUGGUGUAGAUGAGGCUGGGUCUAGUCAGGUUAUAGAUGGUGGUGUAGAUGAGGCUGGGUCGAGUCAGGUUAUAGAUGGUGGUGUAGAUGAGGCUGGGUCUAGUCAGGCUAUAGAUGGUGGUGUAGACGAGGCUGGGUCUAGUCAGGUUAUAGAUGGUGGUGUAGAUGAGGCUGGGUCUAGUCAGGUUAUAGAUGGUGGUGUAGAUGAGGCUGGGUCUAGUCAGGUUAUAGAUGGUGGUGUAGAUGAGGCUGGGUCUAGUCAGGUUAUAGAUGGUGGUGGUGUAGAUGAGGCUGGGUCUAGUCAGGUUAUAGAUGGUGGUGUAGAUGAGGCUGGGUCUAGUCAGGUUAUAGAUGGUGGUGGUGUAGAUGAGGCUGGGUCUAGUCAGGUUAUAGAUGGUGGUGGUGUAGAUGAGGCUGGGUCUAGUCAGGUUAUAGAUAGUGGUGUAGAUGAGGCUGGGUCGAGUCAGGUUAUAGAUGGUGGUGGUGUAGAUGAGGCUGGGUGUAGUCAGGUUAUAGAUGGUGGUGUAGAUGAGGCUGGGUCGAGUCAGGUUAUAGAUGGUGGUGGUGUAGAUGAGGCUGGGUCUAGUCAGGUUAUAGGUGGUGGUGUAGAUGAGGCUGGGUCUAGUCAGGUUAUAGAUGGUGGUGGUGUAGAUGAGGCUGGGUCUAGUCAGGUUAUAGAUGGUGGUGGUGUAGAUGAGGCUGGUCUAGUCAGGUUAUAGAUGGUGGUGUAGAUGAGGCUGGGUCUAGUCAGGUUAUAGAUGGUGGUGGUGUAGAUGAGGCUGGGUCUAGUCAGGCUAUAGAUGGUGGUGGUGUAGAUGAGGCUGGGUCUAGUCAGGUUAUAGGUGGUGGUGUAGAUGAGGCUGGGUCUAGUCAGGUUAUAGAUGGUGGUGUAGAUGAGGCUGGGUCUAGUCAGGUUAUAGAUGUUGGUGUAGAUGAGGCUGGGUCUAGUCAGGUUAUAGAUAGUGGUGUAGAUGAGGCUGGGUCUAGUCAGGUUAUAGAUGGUGGUGUAGAUGAGGCUGGGCCUAGUCAGGUUAUAGAUGGUGGUGGUGUAGAUGAGGCUGGGUCUAGUCAGGUUAUAGAUGGUGGUGUAGAUGAGGCUGGGUCUAGUCAGGUUAUAGAUGGUGGUGUAGAUGAGGCUGGGUCUAGUCAGGUUAUAGAUGGUGGUGUAGAUGAGGCUGGGUCUAGUCAGGUUAUAGGUGGUGGUGUAGAUGAGGCUGGGUCUAGUCAGGUUAUAGAUGGUGGUGUAGAUGAGGCUGGGUCUAGUCAGGCUAUAGAUGAUGGUGUAGAUGAGGCUGGGUCUAGUCAGGUUAUAGAUGGUGGUGUAGAUGAGGCUGGGUCUAGUCAGGCUAUAGAUGGUG
rnacentral:lncRNA from 1 species